rnacentral:rRNA from 1 species
GACGAACGCUGGCGGCGUGCUUAACACAUGCAAGUCGAACGGUGAAGCGCCUUCCUUUUUGGUGGGUGUGGAUGAGUGGCGAACGGGUGAGUAACACGUGAGUAACCUGCCCCCUUCUUCUGGAUAACCGCAUGAAAGUGUGGCUAAUACGGGAUAUUCUGGGUCUGUCGCAUGAUGGGUCUGGGAAAGAUAUUGUUUCGGUGGGGGAUGGGCUCGCGGCCUAUCAGCUUGUUGGUGGGGUGAUGGCCUACCAAGGCGGUGACGGGUAGCCGGCCUGAGAGGGUGGGCGGUAACACUGGGACUGAGACACGGCGCAGACUCCUACGGGAGGCAGCAGUGGGGAAUAGUGCACAAUGGGCGCAAGCCUGAUGCAGCGACGCCGCGUGAGGGAUGGAGGCCUUCGGGUUGUGAACCUCUUUCGCCAGUGAAGCAGGCCUGCCUCGUUUGUGGGUGGGUUGACGGUAGCUGGAUAAGAAGCGCCGGCUAACUACGUG